UUCCUUGAACCGCAUGGUUCAAGGAUGAAAGACGGUUUCGGCUGUCACUUACAGAUGGACCCGCGGCGCAUUAGCUAGUUGGUGGGGUAAUGGCUCACCAAGGCGACGAUGCGUAGCCGACCUGAGAGGGUGAUCGGCCACACUGGGACUGAGACACGGCCCAGACUCCUACGGGAGGCAGCAGUAGGGAAUCUUCCGCAAUGGACGAAAGUCUGACGGAGCAACGCCGCGUGAGUGAUGAAGGUUUUCGGAUCGUAAAGCUCUGUUGUUAGGGAAGAACAAGUGCGAGAGUAACUGCUCGCACCUUGACGGUACCUAACCAGAAAGCCACGGCUAACUACGUGCCAGCAGCCGCGGUAAUACGUAGGUGGCAAGCGUUGUCCGGAAUUAUUGGGCGUAAAGGGCUCGCACGCGGUUUCUUAAGUCUGAUGUGAAAGCCCCCGGCUCAACCGGGGAGGGUCAUUGGAAACUGGGAAACUUGAGUGCAGAAGAGGAGAGUGGAAUUCCACGUGUAGCGGUGAAAUGCGUAGAGAUGUGGAGGAACACCAGUGCGAUGCGACUCUCUGGUCUGUACUGACGCU
rnacentral:rRNA from 1 species